rnacentral:snRNA from 1 species
AUCACUUCUCGGCCUUUUGGCUAAGAUCAAGUGUAGUAUCUGUUCUUAUCAGUUUAAUAUCUGAUACGUCCUCUAUCCAAGGACAAUAUAUUAAAUGGAUUUUUGGAGCUUGGAGUUGGAAUAGGAGCUUGCUCUGUCCACUCCACAUGUCAACCUAGCAUUGUAGUACUUCUAGGAACGGUGCAUCCCCU